CACCGAGGCGGGGUGGAGAGCUCAGGCCCUGGGCAUCUCAAAGCCAAGGGGCGGCGCAGACUUAGGGACCUCUGGUGCUGGCCUCGCCACCGCAGCCACCGCACUGCGCACGCGCGCUGUCCCGGCUCCGCCCCCCCGGGUAGGAACCUACAGCGGGUGCGGCGGCGGCGGCAGCAGCAGCGCCGGACGCUGGCGGUGUAGACACCCCUGGGUCAGGACCCGGACCCUGGACUGGCCGCCGGCUAGAAGAUCGCCCCGUGACCCCUCGAGGGGACCCGGACGGCCCCUGGUACAGGACGAGGGACUCCCUCUGUCCCCGCGCCUCCCUUCCUCGCGCCACGCUGUGCAACGUGGACUGGCCUCGGAUAAGGGUGCCGUCGGUGUGAGCGUGCCAACAAUAAACUUGAGAACCAGACCUCAUUGUCUUUCCUUGGAGGAUCGGAGAGGGUGUCCUGUCGGUGGAGGACCCAUGCUUGAGGUGGGGGAGCAGAGCGGAGGGGUCUACGCCAGAGGAAGCUUUGAAUUGUCCCCCAAAACCUAGUGUGAUUCUGUGGGCCCUCUGCAUCCCAGCCCGCCCCCCCCCCUUGUUGGCUUGGGGUUUGGGGUCAGUUUAAAAAGGCCAAGAGAAGGAUGCGAAAGAAUGAACAUUUGGUAACCAAGAAAAGAAAGCCUUAAAAGAAGACAUUUAACCCCUGCAUGUAGGCUGGUAUUUAAAAUAUCCCCUUAAAAUGCCCCUGGUUUUGAAAACUAGGAUAAUGAAUGAUUUGUCAGAGUGACAUUACAAAAUAAAAAGGAAAUACCAAGUACUUUGUUCUCUUUAAAAAUAGAAGCCUAUCUGCUAAAAUGUGAUAUUGUGUUGGAGUCCUUAGAACAUUAUCCUGCAAGUUUAGAAUUGAAAUCACCUUGGAAGAAAAUUGUGGCCUCCAGAAACCUGCAGUACCUGACUUUAGAAGAGCAAUGAAGGAGCAUGGGAAUGUCUCCCAGUCCUUCUGAGUCACAUGUGCAAAGUUUAACCCAACCCAUGAUUGUACACCAUGACAGAUACAGGCCAAGGGUAUUAUUGCAAGUCAGAAAAUAUGGUUUAGAAACCAAUGUUACAUGGUUUCUUUAAGUAGAAUACAAAUAGAGCAUUCCAAUUUUUAAAUUGUGAUAUUUUUAACCAAGGAUGAAUUUUUUUUGCUUACUUUCUAUUUUGAGUCUAAUAUAGUAACCUUGAAAAUUAACACUUUUGUAUGUAUCCAGUUUCAUAUGCUGUAACAUUCAUUACAAGUGUGCUUUGAAAAGAACAAAGGAGAGCAUUCUCUUAUUGGGACUCCUCCCUGACAUGUUACCCUAAACUAAUGUAGAUUUUAAAAACCCAGUAACAACCAUUAAAAAAACAAUC
rnacentral:lncRNA from 1 species